rnacentral:rRNA from 1 species
AUUGAACGCUGGCGGAAUGCUUUACACAUGCAAGUCGAACGGUAGAGGGGGCAACCCCUUGAGAGUGGCGAACGGGUGAGUAAUAUAUCGGAACAUGCCCAGUCGUGGGGGAUAACGUAGCGAAAGUUACGCUAAUACCGCAUACGAUCUAAGGAUGAAAGCGGGGGAUCGCAAGACCUCGCGCGACUGGAGCGGCCGAUAUCAGAUUAGGUAGUUGGUAGGGUAAAGGCCUACCAAGCCAACGAUCUGUAGCUGGUCUGAGAGGACGACCAGCCACACGGGAACUGAGAAACGGUCCAGACCCCUACGGGAGGCAGCAGUGGGGAAUUUUGGAAAAGGGGCGAAAGCCUGAUCCAGCCAUUCCGGGGGAAGGAGGAAGGCCCUCGGGUUGUAAACUGCUUUUGUAAAGAACGAAAAGGUUUUUAUUAAAACUAGGGGCUAAUGACGGUACUGUAAGAAUAAGCACCGGCUAACUACGG